UCUGGUAAUUAGAGCGAAGUGGAAACACCUCUUCCCAUUCCGAACAGAGAAGUGAAACGCUUCAGCGCCUACGAUACUGGGAUUUCCCGGGACAAUAGGUCAUUGCCAGAA
rnacentral:rRNA from 1 species